UUCCUUCCAGGACCUCUGGAGCUCCCCAUGGGCCCCAGGGCUGAGCAAUCAGUUCCAGCUCUGCCUGGAAUGGCCGUGGCUGACACCAUCAACGAGAAAUAUUCCAGCUCUUGCCACGGAAUUGCACUUUGUGAUGUCAUUCUCAGCUCUUCCCAGCCCUGUGGGCUGAAAAUGAGACGGGGCUGCUCUGUGUUGGCUCCAGGAAAUGAAAACAAGAAUGAAAUGGGAAUGCAAAGCUCCUCUGCCUGUCUGGAGAGGGACUUUCACUCCCUCCUGCACUGUUAAUUAAAACAUGAACCCUGCUCCAGAGCUGAGAAUCCCAUCUCCAUUCUGUUCAGAGCUGCGCUCCCACCCUGAGGACUAACCCAAGGUCGUGCAUCACAGAAUUGAGAGAGAACAAACAAAAAGCACUCCUCAAGUCUGCCAGAUGAAUUCCUUCUUGUCGGGACCAUCUGCAGCAGCUGUGCCAGCGGAGAUUGUUGGAAUGUCCUGGAUAUGUCCAAGCGCUGCAGUGCUGAGCGCCCUUGGCCACGUUUGGCGUCUGUCAGCAGCGCUGUUAAUCACAGCCCGGAUAAUGGGUCACAGCUCCUCAGUUCCCCUGCGCUCCCCGGUGAUUUAUGUGAGCAGAGACACGGCCUCUCUGGGGUCUGGGGGAUCCCUUCUGGUCUCCCCAGUGAGCAAUUUCCCUGCCCAGCAGCCCCGGUGGCAUCCCCCCACCCCGGGGCUUUUCACACACCAGGAACGUGCCAGGCUGCUCUGCAAAACUCCCCUCCCCUGUGGGAGUGAAUCCAAAGGCUCCUGGAACUGGGACACCACUUUCUUAUUCCAGAAGUAAAGCUCUUGGGAAUUACUCUUGUGCAAAUUCCACUUGUGGAAUCCCGAGCAUGUGAAUCCUGGAGUCUGUCACUUGCACUCCAGUCGCAGUGGUUAGAAUUCCAUCAACCCCGGGCUUCUGCUGCCAUCUGGGAGCUCUGGGAUUUUCCAGCCCAUUAAAGCUGCCUCAGAGCUCGCCUGGCUCUGCCUGGUCCCGUCUCUGCUCCUCAGUUCCGAGGCACAGGACGAGGCAGAGUGGAACACACACCCAGAGAGGCUCUGUCAGCCCAUGGGGGGACAAAAGCCACAAACCCCAGUGAACCCCAUUGAUGGCCUUGUCAUUUAUAGGACAGGGGGAAACGGCUUCAGACGUCCAGAGGACAGGGCUGGGUGGGAUCUGGGGCAGGAAACGUUCCCUGGGCAGGGCUGGGAUGGAAUUGCCAGAGCAGCUGUGGCUGCCCCUGGAUCCCUGGCAGUGCCCAAGGCCAGGCUGGACACUGGGACAGUGGGAGGUGUCCCUGCCAGGGCAGGGGUGGCACUGGGUGGGAUUUCAGGUCCCUUCCCACCCAAACCAUUCCAUGAUUUUGUGACUCCUCUGCCCUUCUAAAGUCCAGUGACAACAUUUUCUCCACAUGGGACCAAAAGCCAGGCCAGCCCUGCAGUCAGUUGGCAAAUCUGUUCUCAGAUUUGCUGCAGCACUGGAAAAGAACAACAGCAAAAGGCAAAACAAAAACAAAGCUGCAAAAAAACCCAUGAGUCACCAAAAAAUCCUCAAACAAACAAGGGAAGCUUUAAUUUUUAUAGCAGCAUGUUUAAUUAGCUUCAUUUAUCUGAGAAUUUGGUUUGUUUGUGUUAGGCAUAAUAAACACUGCAGGCUGUUGUUAAUUCAAGAUCUACAGCCUGUCCCCAGCAGUGCUGGGAUGGGUCACUGCUCUCCUGCCCUCUGAGUUCCAUCCCUGAGAGCCAAACCUGGCUAACUCUGAUUUGGGCUUUUGGAAAACUCAGCAUGGAGACAGCAAAUCCUUUCCCCUCCGCAGUUCUUCUCUGCGUAGUGUGAAUAAAAAUCAAAUUAAAAGUGCCAGGAAAGGCAGGGUGUGCAGGUGAGCCCCUGUGGGAGCACAAGGACACUGGGCUGGGCUGGCAUUCAGCCCUUUUUUGGGAGAAGGGCUUUGCAGCCCUGCCCUGGCUGGGCUUUGCCAGCUCUGAGUCAUUAUCUGGACAAACUCUCAGUCCCUGUUUGAGCUGCUGAUCCAACCUGACGGGAUUCAGCAGCUCCAUUACAAAGGAUAAAGGAUUGUCUUUAGCAGGAGAGAGGGACAGGAAGAGACAGAACCGAGAGUCUUUAACCAGAGCCCUGAAUUAACCUUCCCAGAAGGAAAUCCGUGUGGACUGUGGCUUUUAUUUAUAAACCUCUUCCUUCCUCCGGGCUUUCUGUGCUCACAAGGAGAAGCAAAGCCAUGGAGAAAGGCAGGAUUUGAGGAUAUCUUGGCUGAGGGGAUCUGUGUGGCUCUGCCAGAGAGCCCAAAUAAUGAGAAAUAAUUAAACCCUGAAGCACAAAUCGGCAAAUACAACUCUUGUCCCACAAAACAAAAAAGAAAUCUCAUCAACAUCUGUAGAAGGUAUCCCUGCUGAGCUCCAAGCAGCCUGAACUCUCUUCUCAGGACUUUUGCAAAUAGAGGGAUUAUUUCCCUUUUAUUGUAUUAGAAGGGGGGUGGAAGGGUGAGCAAUUGAGAAACUUCAUUAUGCACUGAAAGAGGAAAUGAUUCCUGGAAAAAUGUAUUUCUCCAUAUGGGAAAAGCAGGGCUAUUUGAGACUCACACUGUGUUCUUCUUCUCCUGCCACUUGCAAAGGCUUUUCAUUCCACUUGUACUUCAUGUUUCAAGUGGAUUAUUUCCUUCCAUUGAUAAGGGGAUAAUUCAGUUAGGCCUUGCAGAUAGUUAUUUCUUUGCUCAGAAGGAUAUUUUGCAUGCAAGGAUCAAUUUUUUCUCUCUCUUUUCUUUUUUUUAAAUACCACCUAGAGCCUGUGGAAAUGAGA